AUUGAACGCUGGCGGCAGGCCUAACACAUGCAAGUCGAGCGAGCGGCGGACGGGUGAGUAUUGUCUGUGAAACUGUCUGAUGUAGGGGGAUAACUAUUGGAAACAGUAGCUAAUAUCGCAUACCAUCAGAUGUGCCCCGAUGGGUUUAGCUAGUAGGUGGGGUAACGGCUCACCUAGGCGACGAUCCCUAGCUGGUCUGAGAGGAUGACCAGCCACACUGGAACUGAGACACGGUCCAGACGCCGACGGGAGGCAGCAGUGGGGAAUAUUGCACAAUGGGCGCAAGCCUGAUGCAGCCAUGCCGCGUGUGUGAAGAAGGCCUUCGGGUUGUAAAGCACUUUCAGCGGGGAGGCGUUACCCGCAGAAGAAGCACCGGCUAACUCCGUGCCAGCAGCCGCGGUAAUUC
rnacentral:rRNA from 1 species